UGUGGUGGAGUGUGUACAUAUACAAGUGAGCUCAUACUGGUGACUGGCCUCUGUGUGUGCAUGUGUAUGAGGCUGUGUCCCUAGCAGGCACUCACUGCUCCCCACAACGACUCACCCAUUCUUUCCUUCUACAGCUGCUCCACGCUGAGACCCUGAGGCAUAGACAGAAGCUGCCCAAGCUGGCUAUGCAGGGAGUGGGUCUUGACAGAAGCCCUCAAAGCAGGGUCAAGCUGGAUGCUCCAAGGAAGAGAAGUGUGGCCCAGAGGGACCCAGCACCCUGCACACCCCAGCGGGGCCUAGGGAGGCCAAGAGAUUGGCCACGUCCUGGAUUGAAGCCCUUUGCACCCCAAGUAAUACUUGCUGCCCCAGUCCCCAACAACCUGUAUGAGACUGCCAGCCUGAGCUCGUGGCUGCCAUCUGCAUACAGGUGUGUGGGCCCACGUCCCCUGUAUUGACUCCCUCAUCCUUCCACCCAACAGGAUCUCAUCCUCGAGAGGGCAGGGCCCAGAGUGACUCCUAAUAUGUCUGUGUGGGGAAAGAGCCUGUUAUAAAAGCCUGCAUGGCCCACAGAGGAGCAGGGCAAGUGACCUGGAUGCACCGUGAAGAUCGUGCUGGCCCUUCUCCUCCCAGACUUGGAGCACUCCCCCUGCCAGCAUCAAGCAGGAGACAAAACAGUCCUUCAUCAUGUCUAGUGCCAAGAUAGACACCCUUGCAAACAUCAUGGAACGCAUGUUAA